UACGUAGGGACCGAGCGUUGUCCGGAAUCAUUGGGCGUAAAGAGCGUGUAGGCGGCUCGCUAAGUCUUGCGUGAAAUCUCGGGGCUCAACCCCGAGCGGUCGUGAGAAACUGGCGGGCUAGAGUGCGGGAGAGGAGAGUGGAAUUCCUGGUGUAGCGGUGAAAUGCGUAGAGAUGUGGAGGAAUACCGAUGGCGAAGGCAGCCUCCUGGGCCAACACUGACGCUCAUGCACGAAAGCGUGGGGAGCAAACAGG
rnacentral:rRNA from 1 species